AAAAAGUUUAAACUUUUUCCAUUGUUAAAAUCCGCUUAAAAUCUAAUCAGAUCCGAAAUUGAGCCGGGGCACUGGACACGGAUUGAAAUGGUGUCGAGAGAAAAACUUACGACCAAAACUAAGCCAAAAAUGCUGCGACUGCUAUUUACUAGUCGUAAGUCCAAAUCUCUCUCUUUCUCUCACCUGUUAGCUCACAAGUAAAUACUUCAAUUUUACUUGGAACUAUUUUUUAACAUUUUAUUUGAGUAUGCUAUAGCAUACUCAACUAAAAUUACAAGUUAAUUCCUCCGAGUGACGAACAAGUGAUUCGCCCUUGAGUCUCCACCGGGCCUUGACUUGCAAAUUAUUGCAGUCGUGACUCCUUUAUAUGGGAGUGCCUUUAUUCCUACCGAAUGCAAUUAGAAGACAAAUAUAUAAAAGAAGGCAAACAUUUGAGAGACUAAGUGAACGUGAUAUAAGGGAACAUUAUAGUGUGCUAGGGUGGUGCGCCAGCUUGGAGCGCAAGAGAGCUUAUCAAACUUUAUCAUCAUCUUGAAGGGAAAAUAAUUACCACGGUCCCUUGUUUCUACAGUCCUACGUUUCUUACUGGUGCAUUUUGGAAACACCACAACUAUACGCUGCAAGGGCAAUUUAAUAAGCAGUGAAAAAAUGAGGCACGUUUGUAAGAAAAAUUAGUAAUUGGAAGUAUCGAUUUUAUCAUUUUAUUUAAGAUGUUAUCAGUUUUCGAAUUCUCAUUAUUAUAACUUGUUUACUAGGACUGAUCGCUACAGCUGUUAUCGCCACUUCAUAAGCACGUGAAUCAAUUUUAGCUCCUAAAUAGCAUUCCCGGUGGUAUUGAUCUACGUGAUCCUUCUUUCAAAUUUCCGACAGAUAGACCUCUAUUGACCUAUCGAGGUGACGAAAGUGUUGAUUUAUGUUUUCAAGUAUGGGCUCUACAUACAUCAAUCAUUGGUCACAGGUCACGAACGGGCCACUUCCUAUCUAUGAGUGACGACUAGAUUUAUCUAAGUCAGUCCCAUGUUUGAGUACAUGUUGUUCUGAAUGCAAAUAAAGAAAGCUUGAGAACUCA